rnacentral:rRNA from 1 species
AGCAGUAGCCGCGGUAAUACGUAGGUGGCAAGCGUUGUCCGGAAUUAUUGGGCGUAAAGGGCUCGCAGGCGGUUUCUUAAGUCUGAUGUGAAAGCCCCCGGCUCAACCGGGAGGGUCAUUGGAAACUGGGAAACUUGAGUGCAGAAGAGGAGAGUGGAAUUCCACGUGUAGCGGUGAAACGCGUAGAGAUGUGGAGGAACACCAGUGGCGAAGGCGACUCUCUGGUCUGUAACUGACGCUGAGGAGCGAAGGCGUGGGGAGCGAACAGGAUUAGAUACCCCCGUAGUCCCUGUCUCUUAUACA